rnacentral:lncRNA from 1 species
CAAUAGCAAAAUCCAUAAUCCCUAUUGGAACUUUCAAGAACUUAGGCUCCUUCCUUAAAAGCUUAAACAAAAUUUCCCCUUGUUCCAAUGGAGUCAAUGCCUUCCCUGGUCCUCCAAUAGGUAAAAUCUUGUUAAUUUUAUCCUCACUCAUCACACAAUCAACAAUAAAAGAAGCCAAAUCUUGUUCACUUAUAGGUUUACAAGCACACAACUUUCCAUCACCAAACAUCACAUAAGGCUUCCCAUCUUUCACCAAAUCAACCUGACCACCUAAACUUUUAAAAAACGCGGUCGGCCUCACUAUACUAUAACUAAACCUAUCAUCUUUCUCCGCUUCCUUUACCAACUCAUCCUCGAGCUUCAGCUUCGCACGCUGAAACUCGAGAAGAGGCUUCUGAACACAAAUCGCCGAAAGCAAUACAAAAUGAGAAGCACCAAGCUUCCUACCAGCUAAAAGACUAUUCUUAGUAGCUUCAUAAUCAAUCUUCCAUGAAUCCUUAACCCCUCCAUUUCUACUAGCAAGACAUGACACAACAACAUCAAAACCAACACCUAAGUUCUUCAAAUCCUCAUCAAAAACAUCCAAAUUUGUCACAUCAGAGAAACACACAUUAGCACCUCUUAACUCAUUCAAUGUUGUUUCUUUAUCAAUGCUACCCUUUAUUCCACUCUUUUCUCUAGCUAUUGCAGUAACAUUAAACCCUCUUUGAAUCAACUCUUUCACUACAAAUUUUCCUAUAUACCCAGUUGAACCUACUACCAAUACAUUAACAUCUUUAGGAUUCUUGAUUCUAAAUGUUGUUGGGGUUGUUUCAAUUUGUUCAGAUUGUGAAAGAGAUGCAUAAAGUUUCAAUUUUUGUUUGGUAUACUUAAUGGGUCUGUUUGAUUUUACCUUGAAUAGGUUGAUGAAGUGAGAAGGGGGGUGUGAAGAGAAAUUGAAGGAGAGGGUUUGGUGUUUGAGUGAGGGGUGUGUGAUGAAAGUG